AAUUUUAGAACUUGAUCCUAAAACUCAUCUGGAACAGCACAGGGGCAAAAUCAGCCAAGAAAAAUGUUAAGAACGAGGUGGAAGAACCUGGAAACACAACAAAACAAUGAAGUUCCGGCAAUAACGUCAGCGUGGUAAAGGAAGAGAUAAAUUAGAACCAUGGACCCAAACGGAAAGCCGAGAAAUACAGUUACAUAUAUACGGAAAAGUCACUUAAGACAAAGUGUUACUACAUAGCAACAGCAGUCUGAAACUGAACUCCUAAUAUCUCCAAGGUGAAGGAACCACGGCUGGACGAGAUGAAGUGACUUGGCCGCAACCACACAGCAUCACUACUUUGGCUCAGCUUUUAUGCAGGUUUUAUUUGUCCCUACAUGCCUCUCCUCC